rfam:Triticum aestivum genome assembly, contig: Triticum_aestivum_CS42_TGACv1_scaffold_423350_5BS
GUAGUAUUCCCUCCGUCCCAAAAUUCUUGUCUUACAUUUGUUUAGAUACGGAUGUAUCUAACACUAAAAUGUAACUAGAUACAUUCGUAUUUACACAAAUUUAAGACCAGAAUUUUGGGACGGAGGGAGUACAAA